UUGCUGAUUUCAUGGCAUGGCUAACACAAGAACCAACCACAUUAACCAGUCACCUCGAUCCCUAGUCUCAUAAAGAAGCAGUAUCCUGUAAGCAGCUGAAAGGGCGGAGAGCUGCCUCUUGCUUUUUGACCUUAGAAAUUAUUCUAAGAGGUAGAGAAAUAAACAGAAGAAAGAUGGACGGGGUCCCUGCUGCCCUGAUGCUGAGGUACCUGAGAGGCAAACGCUUCAUAGGCAACAGCAAAGAAGCAAGUCACGGCCUUGUUGAAGGCAUGGAGAGAGUUCUGACAGAGCGCUGAGCCUGGAGCUGUGAUGCAAGCCUGUAAUCCCAGCAGGUCAGGAGGUUAAGGCUUGAGCAACUCUCCCAAUUGCUUAUGACUUUACAGUUGCUACCAGGGAGUCAUUAUACACAGAUGGCUUUCAGGACGGGAGUCAAUUUGGUAAGGCAUUUCCCUUGAUUACCUUGCAUUCUCUCUACACUGAUGGUUACAAAAGUAAAGAUUCUUGCAUGUCAAAUGGUGAAAAUGUUUCCGGGAUCUGGAAAAAAGGCAAAACAUUGCAUUUAGCAGAUGAUCUCUGUGUAACUAUACUCUGAUAAAAAAGCUGCACAGUUCCUUUAAUUUAUUCAGAUAAAUUUUUAUAAGCAAUGGUAAAAACCAGACCAACAUGAAGCACCGAAGGGAAAAGACUGAGCGGAAUUUGCAGCUGUGAGUAGAUAUUGAUUUGAGCAUAUAAUUACAUCCACCUUGUUAUAUGGUCUCAUUUUCCUCUCUUGCAACCUUGCAAAUAAGUAUCAAAAUCUUAUCUGACAUACCUUGUACCUGUUUUUUAAGUUCAUUCCACAGUCUUUCCAGGAGAACACAGGCACAGAAAGAAAUACGUUUUUAUUUGAAGCUGAUUUUAUUUCUUUUUUUAAUGUUAACU